rnacentral:rRNA from 1 species
AUUGAACGCUGGCGGCAUGCCCUACACAUGCAAGUCGAACGGUCAUAGCAAUAUGGCAGUGGCAAACGGGUGAGUAACGCGUGGGAAUGUGCCCCUUAGUCUGGGAUAACGAUUGGAAACGAUCGCUAAUACCGGAUACUCCGGAGACGGGAAAGAUAUAUUGCUAAGGGAGCGGCCCGCGUUAGAUUAGGUAGUUGGUGGGGUAAAGGCCUACCAAGCCUAUGAUCUAUAGCUGGUCUGAGAGGACGAUCAGCCACACUGGGACUGAGACACGGCCCAGACUUCUACGGAAGGCAGCAGUGGGGAAUAUUGGACAAUGGGGGAAACCCUGAUCCAGCAAUGCCGCGUGAGUGAAGAAGGCCUUAGGGUUGUGAACCUCUUUUAGCAGGGAAGAAGCGAAAGUGACGGUACCUAAAGAAGAAGCACCGGCUAACUACGUGCCAGCCGCCGUGUAA